rnacentral:miRNA from 1 species
UGACAGAGUUAGGGAGGGAGUGACUAGUGACAGAGAGAGGGAUGGGGUGACUGUCACUAGACAGUCAUCCCCUCCCUCCCUCCCUCUGUCACUAGUCACUCCCUCCCUCUGUUACUAGUC